rnacentral:misc_RNA from 1 species
AAGUCCAUCUAAUGAGCUUAUUCCUGGUGAGAGGCGCAAUGACAGAAUAAUGAAGGUUCAGUAAGUUGUUAAUGACUUAAUGAAAAGCUCAUUAGAUGGUCAAAACAUAUUAUUUGUGGAUCACUUGCUAGUGUGCCAUUUAAAAUGAAAACAAAAUAUCCUUUAUGCUGUAUAGUAGGAAAAUGGUCACAAGAGCUUAAUCACUCUGUUUACUGUCCCCUUCUUCUGUCUUAUUUAACUGGAGAUGGAACUCGAUUCAAUGAAGUGGCAUUGAAUUUUUGUUGCAACUCCAUUGUCAUUAAUAGGAUUGGUAGGACUUUGGAUUGUUCAAAUUGUAUUAUCCAGCUUGAAAAACUAAGAAUGAUUCCUAGUUAUCAUUUAAUUUCUUAUGGUAUGCCUACAUUCUUUUA